rnacentral:rRNA from 1 species
UCUACGGGAGGCAGCAGUGAGGAAUAUUGGUCAAUGGCCGAGAGGCUGAACCAGCCAAGUCGCGUGAGGGAAGACGGCCCUACGGGUUGUAAACCUCUUUUGUCGGGGAGUAAAGCGAACCACGUGUGGUUCAUUGAGAGUACCCGAUGAAAAAGCAUCGGCUAACUCCUUGCCAGCAGCCGCGGUAAUACGGAGGAUGCGAGCGUUAUCCGGUUUUAUUGGGUUUAAAGGGUUCGCGGGAGGUGGUUCAAGUCAGCGGUGAAAUUGUGGGGGUCAACCCAGUACUGUCGUUGAAACUGGAUGCCUUGAGUGCGCGGGAGGUAUGCGGAAUGCGUGGUGUAGCGGUGAAAUGCAUAGAUAUCACGCAGAACUCCGAUUGCGAAGGCAGCAUA